GGCUAGCAUUGUUUUUGUCCACACCCUUCUUUGUUUGAACAGCUAUUAUGUAUAUAUUCACCACUCGUUCUUGACACAAACUCAACCCUUUGUUCAAAGUCCAUUUUGUCCUCUUCUCUCCACUUGAAUUACUUGUUUGGUCGUGUAUAUGACAUUUGCCAAACAUCAUCAUUUAUUUUCUCUCUCAAACCUCUCAUUUAAUUUUGGAUUAAUUUUGAGUCAAAAAUCACUAGAAGAUUGAAAUAUAGUACGUGAUUCGAUUCGGAUUGGACUUUCAUCUUUAAAAAUAUCAAUCCAAU
rnacentral:lncRNA from 1 species